UACAGAGGGUGCGAGCGUUGUCCGGAAUCACUGGGCGUAAAGGGCGCGUAGGUGGUAACCUAAGCGUGCGGUGAAAGCCCGAGGCUCAACCUCGGGUCGGCCGUGCGAACUGGGUCACUUGAGCAGAGUAGAGGCAGGUGGAAUUCCGGGUGUAGCGGUGGAAUGCGUAGAGAUCCGGAAGAACACCGGUGGCGAAGGCGGCCUGGUGGGCUCUGGCUGACACUGAGGCGCGACAGCGUGGGGAGCAAACAGG
rnacentral:rRNA from 1 species